GACGAACGCUGGCGGCGUGCUUAACACAUGCAAGUCGAACGGAAAGGCCCUGCUUUUGUGGGGUGCUCGAGUGGCGAACGGGUGAGUAACACGUGAGUAACCUGCCCUUGACUUUGGGAUAACUUCAGGAAACUGGGGCUAAUACCGGAUAGGAGCUCCUGCUGCAUGGUGGGGGUUGGAAAGUUUCGGCGGUUGGGGAUGGACUCGCGGCUUAUCAGCUUGUUGGUGGGGUAGUGGCUUACCAAGGCUUUGACGGGUAGCCGGCCUGAGAGGGUGACCGGCCACAUUGGGACUGAGAUACGGCCCAGACUCCUACGGGAGGCAGCAGUGGGGAAUAUUGCACAAUGGGCGGAAGCAUGAUGCAGCAACGCCGCGUGCGGGAUGACGGCCUUCGGGUUGUAAACCGCUUUCGCCUGUGACGAAGCGUGAGUGACGGUAAUGGGUAAAGAAGCACCGGCGAACUACGU
rnacentral:rRNA from 1 species